rnacentral:tRNA from 1 species
GGCGGCGUAGCUCAGCUGGUUAGAGUGCACGGCUCAUACCCGUGAGGUCGAGGGUUCGAUCCCCCCCGCCGCUACCA